rnacentral:tRNA from 1 species
GGACCCAUGGCUUAACUGGAUAGAGCACUUGACUACGGAUCAGGAGGUUGCAGGUUCGAAUCCUGCUGGGUUCACUA